AACUAACGCUAGCGGCGUGCCUAACACAUGCAAGUCGUACGAGAAAGUUGGCUUCGGCCGAUGAGUAAAGUGGCGCACGGGUGAGUAACGCGUGGAUAAUCUACCUCGUUCUGGGGGAUAACCCAUCGAAAGGUGGGCUAAUACCGCAUAAUCCGGCUGAAUUUCGGUUUGGCCGGCAAAGGUGGCCUCUUGAUCAAAGCUACCGGAAAGAGAUGAGUCCGCGUCCCAUUAGCUUGUUGGUAGGGUAACGGCCUACCAAGGCGACGAUGGGUAGCUGGUCUGAGAGGACGAUCAGCCACACUGGAACUGGUACACGGUCCAGACUCCUACGGGAGGCAG
rnacentral:rRNA from 1 species